rnacentral:misc_RNA from 1 species
AAGUCGUAACAAGGUUUCCGUAGGUGAACCUGCGGAAGGAUCAUUAUUGAAUAAACUUGAUCAGGUUGUUGCUGGCUCUCCUGAGCAUGUGCACACUUGUCAUCUUUACUUCUCCCCACUGUGCACAUAUUGUAGGCCUGGGAUUCUUUUGAUUAUUUUGUAUAGAUUGAGGACUGCUGUGCUUUAGCCAGCUUUUCCUUGCAUUUCCAGGUCUAUGUUUACCUUCACAACCUCUGAAUAUGUUUAGAAUGUUGGAAUAUAAUAUAUAUAUACAACUUUCAGCAACGGAUCUCUUGGCUC